AACAGAUCCCUUGUUUCCCAUGUAUCCCAUAAGUCCAACUCCAACGGGGGAGACUUGCAAAUUAUUUAUGUGCCUUCUCAACCUCCUACGCACCCAAAUAGAUACAUAUAUCCCGACCAUCUGUUUGCUAACAAUACGGAUAUACCUCGGAUGUGAAUACACAGCAUGUUUUAGAAGCGAUGUUUCAUCUUUGAACCCUGUGAAUUCCUCGAAGAGAUCAUUUUCCUCGUCAAAAAGUUGAUCGGAGCCAUCAGAAAGAGCAUCAAGAACUUCAGGUUCCUCUUGUUGAUUCGUCCACAACGAUCCCAAAUCUUCGGUGCUUUGAUGCCCUCUUUUUAACCUGCUACCAUCUAAUCCAACAUCAUAAUUGCAAAAAGCAAGAGCACGGCUGCUCGAUACUCUCCUCAACUUAAAAGUCGAAGAAAGGACCUGAGGUGUUGCAUCGAGUGAACGUUCAGGCCAAUCCAAUCGACUAUCACAAUCAAUGCCAUAUAUUCUCUUUAAUUGCAAGUUCCUCCUCAGGUUGAUCAUGUUAUCUUCAGUGAAGCACGUGGUGUCCAUCGACACUUCUGCCAUUAUAUCUAGUGCAGUAGUAGUAGUUACCACACCAGCAAUUAUAUCAGCUGCAGGAGAAGUCCUUAACACCGGAGACGGUGGAGCACUGUAACUCUUUAGCUUAGCCUCAGGCUCCACUGUCUUUCUGUUUAACGUUCUGCGUAUGAUCGUCUCCCAUUUUGGAAUUGGCCUUCUAUUUUCUGCUCCCAGUACAUUCCCAGCAUUUAGAGGAACUACCUCUUGGAAACCAAGGAUGUAUAUAUCAGCUGGUUCAUUCAUACAAAGCCACUCAUCAAUCUCGAGAUCCUCAUCUGGAAGUCUUCCAGCAACAUUCCA
rnacentral:misc_RNA from 1 species